rnacentral:rRNA from 1 species
GACGAACGCUGGCGGCGUGCUUAACACAUGCAAGUCGAACGGAGCGAAUGAAAGCUUGCUUUUAUAAGCUUAGUGGCAAACGGGUGAGUAACACGUAGGCAACCUACCGACAGGAUGGGGACAACAUUCCGAAAGGAAUGCUAAUACCGAAUGAAGUCGAGGGAGGGCAUCCUCCUCCGAUGAAAGAUGGCCUCUAUAUAUAAGCUAUCACCUGUCGAUGGGCCUGCGUCUGAUUAGCUGGUAGGUGAGGUAACGGCUCACCUAGGCGACGAUCAGUAGCCGGUCUGAGAGGAUGAACGGCCACAUUGGGACUGAGACACGGCCCAGACUCCUACGGGAGGCAGCAGUGGGGAAUCUUCCGCAAUGGGCGCAAGCCUGACGGAGCAACGCCGCGUGAGUGAAGAAGGUCUUCGGAUCGUAAAGCUCUGUUGAUGGGGACGAACGUGCCUAAUGCGAAUAGUAUUAGGU